rnacentral:rRNA from 1 species
UGAGGAAUAUUGGUCAAUGGACGGAAGUCUGAACCAGCCAAGUAGCGUGCAGGAUGACGGCCCUAUGGGUUGUAAACUGCUUUUGUAUGGGGAUAAAGUCAAUCACGUGUGAUUGUUUGCAGGUACCAUACGAAUAAGGACCGGCUAAUUCCGUGCCAGCAGCCGCGGUAAUACGGAAGGUUCGGGCGUUAUCCGGAUUUAUUGGGUUUAAAGGGAGCGUAGGCCGGAGAUUAAGUGUGUUGUGAAAUGUAGACGCUCAACGUCUGACUUGCAGCGCAUACUGGUUUCCUUGAGUACGCACAACGUUGGCGGAAUUCGUCGUGUAGCGGUGAAAUGCUUAGAUAUGACGAAGAACUCCGAUUGCGAAGGCAGCUGACGGGAGCGCAACUGACGCUGAAGCUCGAAGGUGCGGGUAUCGAACAGGAUUAGAUACCCUGGUAGUCCGCACAGUAAACGAUGGAUGCCCGCUGUUGGUACCUGGUAUCAGCGGCUAAGCGAAAGCAUUAAGCAUCCCACCUGGGGAGUACGCCGGCCGGU